AUUCAGCUGACGAGUCUCAAAUUGGACGAAACACGCGUCCUGGAU
rnacentral:hammerhead_ribozyme from 1 species